UACGUAGGGUGCAAGCGUUGUCCGGAAUUAUUGGGCGUAAAGGGCUCGUAGGCGGUCUGUCACGUCGGGAGUGAAAACUCGGGGCUUAACCCCGAGCCUGCUUCCGAUACGGGCAGACUAGAGGUAUGCAGGGGAGAAUGGAAUUCCUGGUGUAGCGGUGAAAUGCGCAGAUAUCAGGAGGAACACCGGUGGCGAAGGCGGUUCUCUGGGACGGUACUGACGCUGAGACGCGAAAGCGUGGGGAGCGAACAGG
rnacentral:rRNA from 1 species